AGAUCGCCUCCGGGGAGCGCCGCAGCGCUGAGAGUGUGGCCGGGGCCACUGACCCGCCGAACCUGAUCCGGCUCGUACCGGCGAAGGAAGCAGGCCCGUUCGAGCUC
rnacentral:ncRNA from 2 species